UGUUCCCAUGCACGGGAGAGACCAGGUGGA
rnacentral:piRNA from 1 species